ensembl:lncRNA
AGUGACUUCCCUGACUAGACCUUGAAGUUAAGAACAGAACUUUACACUCUUUUCUACCCAGCACCCUACAACUUGUGCCCAGUAGAGGAUCUAUAGAAACCUGCUGUUUCUGCCGCUGUUGCUAUUUUUGCCUUGGCUGCUGAAGAAUGAAAUAGACCUACCUCUACGCAAUCAAUAUGGACUUCAUUGAAAUAUCGUGUGUCAAUUGGAUUUCAUCCCUUAAUCACACUGGCAGAGAAAAGAGGGUAGUGGCUGCUUUGGAGAAUGGAGGAAGCCAGAAAGAAGAUAAAGAGUGAAGAUACAAGAAGACAACGGGAUAAGAUUCAGGGAAGAGAGAAGGUCAUAGAGCUGAGAAGGAAUUGACUUUUCUUCAUGUUAAGGGUGGCAGAGGGGAAGACUUCAGCUGAUCACUAUUCAGGUACAUCUGGAUCCAGGAAUAAGAAACCGUAUGGUGUCCAACUCCUUCAAAAUGAAUUUGUUUCUUCGUGUUUUCCUGUUCUGCCUUCGGUGGUGUCAGCUUUAUUCUCAGAAAUCAUGCUGGUUCCCCAACCUGCAUACCCAUGGUGCAAAUUUCACAUCGUCACACUACCCAACCGGAGACCAAUGGAGAACCUAUUUCUG